UACGUAGGCAGCGAGCGUUGUUCGGAGUUACUGGGCGUAAAGGGUGUGUAGGCGGUUCUUUUAAGUUUGGUGUGAAAUCUCCCGGCUCAACCGGGAGGGUGCGCCGAAUACUGAGGGACUAGAGUGCGGGAGAGGAAAGUGGAAUUCCUGGUGUAGCGGUGAAAUGCGUAGAUAUCAGGAGGAACACCGGUGGUGUAGACGGCUUUCUGGACCGUAACUGACGCUGAGACACGAAAGCGUGGGUAGCAAACAGG
rnacentral:rRNA from 1 species